GGUAACCUGCCCUGUACUCUGGGAUAAGCCUGGGAAACUAGGUCUAAUACCGGAUAUGACCUGCCACUGCAUGGUGGUGGGUGGAAAGUUCCGGCGGUACGGGAUGGGCCCGCGGCCUAUCAGCUUGUUGGUGGGGUGAUGGCCUACCAAGGCGACGACGGGUAGCCGGCCUGAGAGGGUGACCGGCCACACUGGGACUGAAACACGGCCCAGACUCCUACGGGAGGCAGCAGUGGGGAAUAUUGCACAAUGGGCGAAAGCCUGAUGCAGCGACGCCGCGUGAGGGAUGACGGCCUUCGGGUUGUAAACCUCUUUCAGCAGGGACGAAGGGCGAGUGACGGUACCUGCAGAAGAAGCACCGGCUAACUACGUGCCAACAGCCGCGGUAAUACGUAGGGUGCGAGCGUUGUCCGGAAUUAUUGGGCGUAAAGAGCUCGUAGGCGGUUUGUUGCGUCGGCCGUGAAAACUUCACGCUUAACGUGGAGCCUGCGGUCGAUACGGGCAGACUUGAGUUCGGCAGGGGAGACUGGAAUUCCUGGUGUAGCGGUGAAAUGCGCAGAUAUCAGGAGGAACACCGGUGGCGAAGGCGGGUCUCUGGGC
rnacentral:rRNA from 1 species